UCCACCUUUCACAUUGCGCGUGCUGUAGCGUGUGUGCUGGUCCGCACGCUCUCUCUCUUUCCAGAUUGUUGUUGCGUGCACACACACCGGCGUCAGCUCGUUGCCCCAUCGUAACUUAUCGGUCGUUCUUUCGUCGGUUGCCCUCCACCCAUACGUCUUCCGUGCCACCGCACCGGCCUGUAGACCAAACAACAAGAUAUACCGGACGCGCAGCUGGUGAAGAGACUCACGCAGUCCUAGCCACCGCUUCUCAGAGCGCAUGCGUACACAUCCGCGCAGAUAGAGAGAACCGACUUGUUGCCUCACCAACCUGUCUUGCACACACGCGAGCCAAAUCGGGUGCUGCCGGGCACGAGACGAUUGAUGCAGUGGCGCUGCUCUUUUUCUUCUCUUGCUGCACGCUGUUGUUUGCCCACUCCGUUUCUCGUCUUACCCCUUCUUCUUCUACCCCAUCCACCGUGCCAUUGGGCAUUGUAUAGCCCCCGACUCGGUUGCCGCGGCCUUGCCAUCCUGUGUUCUUCUCGAGCGGCUCUCCGUGCUGACACUGCUGCUGCCCUCGCGGAGGGUUUCUUGAGCGAGCGGACGCCGAUAGGUUUCCCGAGAGCCCUCUGCUUUGGCUUCCGCACGGCUUCUUUUCCUGUGUGGCUUUCGCAUCGUUUUCUCGGCCCCUCCCCGCCUACACUAAUUUUGCACCGCCCGCGCUCGUCCCUCCCCUCGCUUCGUGUCGCUCAUGCCGCAGGACACGUCCGCAGCACAGGCUUCGCCGGGUGAGAGCGGAUGCCGUGAUGAUGAGUGUGCUAUCCAGGGGACAGAGCAGCCUGCUCUACCGGUCAUGUCACCACAGCUGAUGGAUCGCGUCAACGCCUCCGAGUACCUCAUUCGAGACAUCUUCAAGCGCUACGCGCCUUCCGAGAUCGGAGUUGCGUUCAACGGCGGAAAGGACAGCGUGGUGAUGUUCGAGCUGCUUCGUAGCGCUGUGACAGCACCGGUGCUGGCGCAGUGCUGCAUCUUUGUGGUUGAACACAAUGAUGAGUUUGACGAGCUGCGCAAGUUUCGCGCGUGGUACAUGCAGGAGGUUGCGCGAGGUCUGCCACUAGUGCACCAGGGGGCGUCGCAGGACAUGCGACUCAGCCUAUGGACGCUCACGGAGAAACACCCGCUCAAGGUGGUCUUCAUGGGCACGCGCAAGACGGACCCGCACGGCCGGUAUCAGAAGGAGGCAGUGGAGAAAACGACGCCAGGCUGGCCAGACUUCUUGCGCGCAUGCCCCCUCUUUCACUGGUCCGUGAACGAUGUGUGGGCGUACACCAGGCUCAUGUGCAUCCCGCAGUGCAGCCUGUACGAGAGCGGCUACUCAUCAGUGGGCCGAAGUGCAGAUACAAACCGCAACCCGCUCUUGAGGCGAGAUGACGGGAGCUACCGGCCAGCUUGGGAACUGACGUGCGACAACGCAGAAAGGGAAGGGCGCCAAACGGAAUGAGAAGAAGCGCAGCAACAGCGGCAGGUGACUGUCGAUUGCUCUCAUCAUCGUGUACCGUUCUGGCGGGGGCCAGACGUGCGCACCUGCCUGCCCAACACGCGUCCCGUGUGUAGGACCCCUUUACGGCUGCGUGAAGGUUGUGCAGCGGCUGAUUUUCUUUUUUUUUCGGUCUCCAUUCUGCUUCCUGCACCGCCGUCAAGUAUAUGAGGAGAGCCGCGCGUGCGUCCGUCUCCGCACUGUAGAAGCAGCGGUGCUAUGCUGACUGGAGAGGAGCUAUCGUGGACCGCGGGGGAUGCCGUGCACCCUCUUCUCUCGCUCUCUUUGUUGCUUGUGGGGCACAUCUGUUUGCUGUGUCGUCGUCGUAUCUGCCUGAACUGCUGUGCUCUGCUGGAGUGCAUUGCCUGGCUCUUUCGGUGAGAGAACGCGGCUUUGUGUGCGACUGUGUGGAGGGGGAGAGAGGGGCAUCACCGGGAAUGACCGCCUUCCAUGCGUCCAUGCUGCUCCUCUAAGUUCUCUUCAACGGCACGAAGAGCGCACAGCGCGGGAGAACGCAAUGAUGGCUUGAUGUGCGCAUAUGUAAGUGCCUCCCACACGCUCUCUCGCGCGUUGCGCUUCGGCACGAAGUGCUCUGCUGGGCCCCUGCAGCCGUAUCUGCUUCUCGUGUGCAGUCUUCGCGCCUUCACCUUGUUGUUUCAGUGCGUUCUUACUGCUGAUGCGGUGGUGUGGGGUGUGACGGCUGUGGCACACAUGUCUACACAUUCGACUCAUAUGACCACGUCUCCACAGCAACGGGCGCCCCACGUCCAAACGCGGAUGCAUGCGGUAGCCUAAAGCGUAUGCCCCUCCCUCUUUCUCGCUCUCCUGAUCGUUGCUGCAUUCAGUCAUGUGAUGCUGAUGCUAUCCUUCCUCCAUCUCAGAUGUAUUCACCGGUGGAGGUCCGGCCCCCCCCUACGCCCCUCUGUCUUCCUCUUUCAUGCCCUGCCCAGAGGUUUUGGUGGGUGGGGUGGAGGGCAAGGUGCUGAGAAAGGAUACAAAAACUACCUGAAUACUUGCGCUCACCGUCAAUGCGGUAGAAGCGUGCGAGCGACGCAGUUAGAUAAUGGGCGGUGGCGAAAUACGGCACUAAAU
rnacentral:misc_RNA from 1 species